rnacentral:rRNA from 1 species
UGGGGAAUAUUGCACAAUGGGGGGAAACCCGUGAUGCAGCGACGCCGCGUGAAGGAAGAAGUAUCUCGGUAUGUAAACUUCUAUCAGCAGGGAAGACAAUGACGGUACCUGACUAAGAAGCCCCGGCUAACUACGUGCC